rnacentral:miRNA from 1 species
UGCAACAGUAAUUGUGGUUUUUGCAGUUGAAAGUAAUGGCAAAAACUGCAAUUACUUU